UACGAAGGGGGCUAGCGUUGCUCGGAAUCACUGGGCGUAAAGCGCACGCAGGCGGAUUGUUAAGUCAGGGGUGAAAUCCUGGAGCUCAACUCCAGAACUGCCUUUGAUACUGGCGAGCUCGAGUCCGGGAGAGGUGAGUGGAACUGCGAGUGUAGAGGUGAAAUUCGUAGAUAUUCGCAAGAACACCAGUGGCGAAGGCGGCUCACUGGCCCGGUACUGACGCUGAGGCGCGAAAGCGUGGGGAGCAAACAGG
rnacentral:rRNA from 1 species